rnacentral:lncRNA from 1 species
UUCUCAUAUAUGAUUUUUAUCGCAGAGAUCUCUCGAUAUGUUAUAUAUCAUUAAUAGAGGGAACUCAAGUAGCAGCUUUUAUAAGGACCACAACAUAACAUUUGGUUGAAAAGGCUGAGUACCAGAAUACCACAACAAAUCUUAUCAAUUAAUCAGUUUAAUUUUACCCUCCUUUUCUUCAUAUAUACUUGUGUAGAUUAAAUCAAUUUAGGGAAAACAAGGGAGAAGAGAAACCUAGCUAGAGAUGUAGGCUAUUAUGAGAUAUUCCAAAGCAUCCAUAUGCGGAAGGAACAUAUGCUAAUUGACUAAUUACAUAUAUGAGGACUUCUCCCGCAUUAUCUCCUUACCCUAUGUGGACAAUAGAUCUGGAUGCCCUGCAACAGCAGCUGAAGUAGGUACCCACUUCUGGAACAUCCACCCAUAC